AUUGAACGCUGGCGGUAUGCCUAAUACAUGCAAGUCGAACGGUGUCUUCGGACAUAGUGGCGCACGGGUGCGUAACACGUAUGCAACCUACCUUACAUUGGGGGAUAGCCUUUCGAAAGGGAGAUUAAUACCGCAUAAGACAGUAGCUGGGCAUCCAGCAGCUGUUAAAGAUUUAUCGAUGUAAGCUGGGCAUGCGUCCAAUUAGCUAGUUGGUGAGGUAACGGCUCACCAAGGCAAUGGUUGGUAGGGGAACUGAGAGGUCAAUCCCCCACACUGGCACUGAGAUACGGGCCAGACUCCUACGGGAGGCAGCAGUAGGGAAUAUUGGGCAAUGGACGCAAGUCUGACCCAGCCAUGCCGCGUGCAGGAUGAAGGCGUUAUGCGUUGUAAACUGCUUUUAUACAGGAAGAAACGACUCUUGCGAGAGGCAUUGACGGUACUGUAUGAAUAAGCACCGGCUAACUCCGUGCCAGCAGCCGCCGUAAUAC
rnacentral:rRNA from 1 species